AAUUUUGUUCAUUGGUUCUUUAAACAUGUAGCAAUCAUUGGGUGCUUCUUGUGAUUUACCCUACCAUAAAUACGGUUCACGUAUUUGAUUCAAUUAAGAAGAAACGCAGCCUAGCAAUAAGAGUGGUAUUGGAUAGUGCCUUCGAAACUUACAAGGCAUAUGGUGGGAAAAGUAAAGGUCCACAAUUACAAUGGGGUGCUGCUGUGUGUGCUCAACAGGAUGGGGGUACUGAGUGCGGGUAUUUUACUUCAAGGUUCAUGUAUGACAUAGUCCACUCAUAUAGUGGAAGUGAAAAUCUAUUCAAGGAUUUUAAGGUGACUAAACCUUAUACUAAUGGGCAAAUUCGUGAAGUUUUAACUUGUUGGGCUCUAUACUUUUUGGACUUUGUAUUCUCCUGAAGUAUAGUAUUUUGUUAGAAUUAAAAGCUACUAUUAUUAGAAGAUAUUUACUUGUAACUGUUAAAGCUUAUCUUCCAUUGCAGUUUUAUUUGUUUUGAAAUAUUUUGAUGUUUUGGACAACUUGUAACAGAUGUCGUUUUAGGAUGAUUUUAUGGAUUUUGAAUGGUUAAUGAUUUUGUAUUGGUCAUGGGCAAUAUUUUAUGAUAGUUGAUUUUUUUUUUUUGAUUUUAAUUGCUUAUUAUUGGUACAAAAUGAAGCGCUUUGGAGAUAGAUGAUGGGAUGUGUGGUAUACUAGAUUGCCUCGUUGUAAAUGGAGGUGUUAUUCCCUCUUUGUGGAAUAUUUUUUAAAAAUAGAAAAGUUGCAUAUAUUGCUUCGGGCUUACGAUUGAGACCAAAGCAAUUACUUAAAUCAAUUGAUUUGAAUAAUUCAUAAGUUCGAAGCAAUUAGAACUUUUAAUGCUUCGAACAAUUGAUAGGCGCGAAGCAAUUGCUAGUACGUUUUAAUAGUUGCUACGAUCAAAUGCUUCGAAAUAUUGGUAAGUGCAAUGCAA